AAGGUGUGCCUUUCAGGCAUCCUCUCCUAAAAACUUUUACAGCCGGGCUUUGCCCGGCUUUUUUUUGGCCCGGA
rnacentral:sRNA from 1 species